AAAAAUUUAGUUAAAUUAUAACAUUAGUCUGUCAAACUAAAAUUGUUCUAAGAACUUUUUUUA
rnacentral:tRNA from 1 species